UAGGGAAUCUUCCACAAUGGGCGCAAGCCUGAUGGAGCAACACCGCGUGAGUGAAGAAGGGUUUCGGCUCGUAAAGCUCUGUUGUUGGAGAAGAACGUGCGUGAGAGUAACUGUUCACGCAGUGGCGGUAUCCAACCAGAAAGUCACGGCUAACUACGUGCCAC
rnacentral:rRNA from 1 species